rnacentral:pre_miRNA from 8 species
AUUCAGAAAUGGUAUACGGGAAAAUGACCUAUGAAUUGACAGACAAUAUAGCUGAGUUUGUCUGUCAUUUCUUUAGACCAAUAUUCUGUAUGACUGUGCUACUUC